rnacentral:rRNA from 1 species
CCUACGGGAGGCAGCAGUGGGGAAUAUUGCGCAAUGGGGGCAACCCUGACGCAGCAACGCCGCGUGAUUGAAGAAGGCCUUCGGGUUGUAAAGAUCUUUAAUCGGGGACGAAGGUUGACGGUACCCGAAGAAUAAGCGCAGGCUAACUACGUGCCAGCAGCCGCGGUAAUACGGAGGGAGCAAGCGUUAUCCGGAUUUACUGGGUGGAAAGGGCGUGGAGGAGGGCAGGGAAGCCAGAAGGGUAAUCUGGGGGCUUACCCCCCAAACUGCUUUUGGAACUGCGUGUCUUGAGUGAUGGAGCGGCUGGCGGACUUCCCAUUGUAGCGGUGACAUUCUUAGAUAUUGGGCGGAACACCAGUGGCGACGGCGGCCUGCUGGACAUUAACUGACGCUGUGGCGCG